rnacentral:rRNA from 1 species
CAUGCAGUCGANCGAGAUGCUCUUCGGAGUAGUAAAGUGGCGCACGGGUGAGUAAUACAUGGGUAAUCUACCUUUGAGUGGGGAAUAACCAGCCGAAAGGCUAGCUAAUACCCCAUACGCUUCCGGUCCCUCGGGUAAGGAAGGAAAGCUGCAUCGUGGAUGUGGCGCUCGAAGAUGGGCUCAUGGCCUAUCAGCUUGUUGGUAGGGUAACGGCCUACCAAGGCAACGACGGGUAGCUGGUCUGAGAGGACGAUCAGCCACACUGGCACUGAGAUACGGGCCAGACUCCUACGGGAGGCAGCAGUGAGGAAUAUUGCGCAAUGGGCGAAAGCCUGACGCAGCGACGCCGCGUGGGGGAAGAAGGUUUUCGGAUUGUAAACCCCUUUUAGGAGGAAAGAUGGGGUGGGUAACCACCCGGACGGUACCUCCAGAAAAAGCCACGGCUAACUUCGUGCCAGCAGCCGCGGUAAUACGAAGGUGGUGAGCGUUGUUCGGAUUUACUGGGCGUAAAGAGCACGUAGGCGGUUUAGUAAGCCCCUUGGGAAAGCUCCGGGCUCAACCCGGAAAGGUCGGGGGGGACUGCUAAGCUAGAGGGCGGGAGAGGAGCGCGGAAUUCCCGGUGUAGCGGUGAAAUGCGUAGAUAUCGGGAANAAGGCCGGUGGCGAANGCGGCGCUCUGGAACGUCUCUGACGCUGANGUGCGAAAGCGUGGGGAGCAAACNNGAUUAGAUACCCUGGUAGUCCACGCUGUAAACNAUGGGCACUAAGUGUNNGCAGAUUACUGUNGNNNCCGCAGCUAACGCANUAA